GAUGAACGCUGGCGGCGUGCCUAAUACAUGCAAGUCGAGCGAACGGACGAGAAGCUUGCUUCUCUGAUGUUAGCGGCGGACGGGUGAGUAACACGUGGAUAACCUACCUAUAAGACUGGGAGAACUUCGGGAAACCGGAGCUAAUACCGGAUAAUAUUUUGAACCGCAUGGUUCAAAAGUGAAAGACGGUCUUGCUGUCACUUAUAGAUGGAUCCGCGCUGCAUUAGCUAGUUGGUAAGGUAACGGCUUACCAAGGCAACGAUGCAUAGCCGACCUGAGAGGGUGAUCGGCCACACUGGAACUGAGACACGGUCCAGACUCCUACGGGAGGCGGCAGUAGGGAAUCUUCCGCAAUGGGCGAAAGCCUGACGGAGCAACGCCGCGUGAGUGAUGAAGGUCUUCGGAUCGUAAAACUCUGUUAUUAGGGAAGAACAUAUGUGUAAGUAACUGUGCACAUCUUGACGGUACCUAAUCAGAAAGCCACGGCCAACUACGUG
rnacentral:rRNA from 1 species